ACAUUGUUUUUGGACCAAGGAUU
rnacentral:miRNA from 1 species